rnacentral:rRNA from 1 species
AACGCGAAGAACCUUACCUGGGCUAGACAACAUCGGACAGCCCCAGAGAUGGGGUCUUCCCUUCGGGGACCGGUGGUUCAGGUGCUGCAUGGCUGUCGUCAGCUCGUGUCGUGAGAUGUUGGGUUAAGUCCCGCAACGAGCGCAACCCUCGCCCUUAGUUGCCAUCAUUCAGUUGGGCACUCUAAGGGGACUGCCGGUGAUAAGCCGCGAGGAAGGUGGGGAUGACGUCAAGUCCUCAUGGCCCUUACGGGUUGGGCUACACACGUGCUACAAUGGUGGUCACAGACUGAAGCGAAGCCGCAAGGCGAAGCAAAUCGGACAAAAGCCAUCUAAGUUCAGAUUGAUCUCUGCAACUCGAGAUCAUGAAGUUGGAAUCGCUAGUAAUCGCGGAUCAGAACGCCGCGGUGAAUACGUUCCCGGGUCUUGUACACACCGCCU